rnacentral:rRNA from 1 species
UACAGAGGUUGCAAGCGUUUAAUCGGAAUUACUGGGCGUAAAGCGCACGUAGGUGGAUAAUUAAGUCAGAUGUGAAAUCCCUGAGCUCAACUUAGGAAUUGCAUUGAAACUGGUUAUCUAGAGUAUGGGAGAGGAAGAGGAAUUUCCGGAGUAGCGGUGAAAUGCGUAGAUAUCGGAAGGAACAUCAGUGGCGAAGGCGUCUUCCUGGCCCAAUACUGACACUGAGGAGCGAAAGCGUGGUAGCAAACAGG